rnacentral:rRNA from 1 species
UACGUAGGGCGCAAGCGUUAUCCGGAAUUAUUGGGCGUAAAGAGCUCGUAGGCGGUUUGUCGCGUCUAUCGUGAAAGUCCGAGGCUCAACCUCGGAUCUGCGGUGGGUACGGGCAGACUAGAGUGCGGUAGGGGAGAUUGGAAUUCCUGGUGUAGCGGUGGAAUGCGCAGAUAUCAGGAGGAACACCGAUGGCGAAGGCAGAUCUCUGGGCCGUAACUGACGCUGAGGAGCGAAAGCGUGGGGAGCGAACAGG